UGGGGAAUCUUCCGCAAUGGACGAAAGUCUGACGGAGCAACGCCGCGUGAGUGAAGAAGGUUUUCGGAUCGUAAAACUCUGUCUUUUGGGGCGAACGUGAGUAUGGUGAACAAAUCAUAGUCAGUGACGGUACCAAAGGAGGAAGCCACGGCUAACUACGUGCCAGCAGCCGCGGUAAUACGUAGGUGGCAAGCGUUGUCCGGAAUUAUUGGGCGUAAAGAGCGCGUAGGCGGGAUAGUCAGUCUGUUGUAAAAGUGCGGGGCUCAACCCCGUGAUCGCAAUGGAAACAGCUAUUCUUGAGUGCAGGAGAGGAAAGUGGAAUUCCCAGUGUAGCGGUGAAAUGCGUAGAUAUUGGGAGGAACACCAGUGGCGAAGGCGACUUUCUGGACUGUGUCUGACGCUGAGGCGCGAAAGCCAGGGGAGCGAACGGGAUUAGAUACCCCGGUAGUCCUGGCCGUAAAACGAUGGGUACUAGGUGUGGGAGGUAUCGACCCCUUCCGUGCCGGAGUUAACGCAAUAAGUACCCCGCCUGGGGAGUACGGUCGCAAGACUGAAACUCAAAUGAAUUGACGGGGUCAUAGCUGUUUCC
rnacentral:rRNA from 1 species